GUCAUGUUUUUGUUUUAAUUCCCAUUAUAUCCUUAACGAUAAUUACCAUAAAGGACGAAAAACAGAUUUCUCUGAAAUUUUUAAUUCAUUCGAGGUGUGGAAUUGGGAUUGGUGUCUGUUUCUUUCUUCAGUACAUUAUUAAAUUCCCAACUUUUAAGAGUAUUAUAAUGCAAGCGGAACAGGUUGCCUUGGGAAGCGCCAUGAUGAAAAUAUUCGAGGAGGAUUUAUGGAAAAUUUUCUCUUUUUGGAAAGUGAAAUACCAUAAAACGCUAGUGGCUAUACAACAACAUGGUAGUUUCUUAAAGAGAUCAAAUAUGGGGUUUCGAAUAGCUUCACUCGAUUUUUCUUUUUUUCUUUUUUCUUUUUUUUGGGGAUAAUUAGUAGCAAAGACUGAUUUCAUAACUUAGUGAUAAGUAAAAGAUAAAACAACAUAAAAAUUCAAGGAUCUAAAUGAUUUAUUUUCCAGCUUAAUUAACUCGUAUAUAUAGCUGUAAAUCUUCUGCAAGUGUCGAUAACAAUCCAAGCAAAUUAGUCUAAUGAAAUUACUUAACAGCAGCAAGCCAAAUAUGAAACAAAUGUUGCAGAGCUUCUUUGUUCACGUAUCUGUCUUCGAGUUAUGAGAAUUCUCUUAAUCUUAUGGAUGGUUAAUUUACAAACGCGUGCCCUGUAUUUAUGGUUUACAAGUCAGCAGCUUUUGAGUGGUGGGAAGUAGUUUUAAUUUGCAUUACACUUUCUAAUUUAUGAAGUGUGAGUGAAAUACAUAACUCAAAGUUAAUUGAUUUUUUUUUUUUUUUCAUAACUCAUUCUUUAAAUCUCAAGAUAUUGUGUACCACGUAUUUUUUAAUUUGAUGUAUGUGUUUCACACACACUAAUGGAUAAACAUAUAUUCCAUAACAUGGUAUAAUUUUUCUUUUUUUCAAAAAAAAAAAAAUUUACCAUGGAAAUAAUUUCACUUUUUUUUCUCAUUCUUUUUUAUCCAUCAUAUUUUCUCUCUCUUAGAUCUUUAUUAGCGGUACUUAGGACUUUUUUUUUCUUCUUGGUUAUUUAUAUUAUUUACUUUAUUAUUUACGCUUUAAAUAUUUCCCUAUCCGCGACAUACCAAUGAUUAUAACAUAUAUGAUAUUAAUAUUUUUUUAUUACUAAUAUAAGUUAAACAUUUCAUUUGGGUUACUUCAUUUGGGUCAUGGAACAGACUCAUUCGCCCCCAUACCAAGUAAGACAUGCUCAUGGGCUUCCUGCCAGAAAUGAGUUGAUGGAGAUUGUGAUAUUUGACUUCCUUAAUUUAUCUCACUAGCCCUGCCUUUUAAUAAGUAUUAUUUAUUCUAAAAUUGCUCGAAUGUAAGUGCAAAAAAAUGAAAAAUAUAGCCAUUUGCACUGUACCAUGUGCCCCAUUAUUAAUUCAUAUAACGGAUAUACCCUAUAUUGAUCCCAGAUUAAAGAUUAAUAUGGAUGUGACUUCUAUUGAUCUUGGAUUAGAGAUUAAUAUGGAUAUAGUUUAUAUUGAUCAUAGAAUUAGAGAUCAAUAGCCACCUAACUUCUACAAAAGGACCGGAGAUAAUUAAUAAUUAAACCUAGAAACAUUAACAGUUACAGCAUGUGAUUAUUAGCUAAACUAUGUAUUGGAAAUUCAGAUAUAGACAAAAAUGAUUGUCAGAUCUAACAAUAUAAAAUGAAACAAAUGAAAUCAAUGGUGAAUAUUGAGAUCCAAAACAAAAUUUCCUGCCAAGUCCAAUUUUCCCGGUCUAUGAAUGGAGGCUAAAAUGAUUGAGAAAUGAUCUAUUAGCUAUUUCACAAAAAGUCAAGAGAAAUCUAGAUCCAGAAAUUCUCUAAACACAAAUACUAACUUGAGCAUCAAAGUGCCCUUUGUAGGUACAAAUUCGAAUUAGUUUAUCCAAAUCUUCAAGAACAACAUAUCAACUUUAGAAUUCAUAAGGAAAAUGGGUAUAAUUCACUAUCUAUUUCUUCCUUAAUCAUUUGAAAUUGGACAAUUAAAGUUUUAUGAACCUUCAUUGAAAUUAAAAAAAAUAAUUAAAAACAACUAUUUAUUUCCUUUUUCUCUCAGGUUCUCAAUAAAUUAAAUUUUCAUCUCUCACAUUUCUCUUAUUUUUUCAAUUAAUUCAAAAAUUGAAUCAAAUAUUACUUCUAAUCGAAUUCCAAAUUGAAACUAAAUAAAAUUUUAGAUUAUUACACAAAAUCAAAACUUAUAUCAACCAAUUGUUCAUAAAAUUUAACAAAACCUAACAUUGAAACUCAUCAUAUAUUGGUGGAGGCGAUGAGUCAAUUGAUGGUUAAGAAGAUAGAUGAUGGUGGUGAUAGUAGUGGUAAUGUACUUGUUGUUGAUGAAAUGGUAAAGUAAUGGUCACGAAGAAAAAGAGGGAGGCAAUGGAGAGAGAAUAAAACAAAUAAUAAUAAUAAUUUUUGGUUUUUUACUGAGAAUAAUUCUAUAAAGUAUUAAGAUAAAUUGAAUAGUGGAGAGUAGUAAUAUAGUUUGAAGGGAUCAUAUAUCAUUUCUCUCUUAAUCCAUAUGAAUUCAAGGCCCAGUCCGUUAUUGGCCUCGUGCUAAACCUCUGUUGUGCUGUAUACAUUAUCAUUUACCCUUAGUUAAUGCAUAAUCUCUCUAUCACUUGAAAACUAUGCACACCUCAUUUUAGAUAUAUCUUCUCUAUAGUUCACAAGAAGCUAGCUGAUCCUUAAUUUUGUAUAUCAUUCGAAUAGCCACAUUUAUUUUCAAAAUUCCCAUUUAAGAGAGUGGAGACCAUUAAACUUGUAUAUAUUUUGUGUGUUUUCAAAUUCUAAGAAACUAUAUAAAGAAACCAUAUUGGGAUGGUCGUAGAUAAAACAAAAAACACUAAGAGAUUGGAAUUUGUAAAUUGUGUCUAGUUAAUGAGAUUUUAGAGAUAAAGAGAGAAAAGGAGAUAGAAUGGGAAAGAUAGAUAAAUUAUUUUAUGGAGAAACUAAUGCUGCGUUUACUUUUUAGAUUGGAGUGGAAAUCUUUGGAUUAGGAGUGUGGAGUGGGAGUGAGAGUAGGGUGUUUACUUAGACUAAAUGAAAGUAUGGAUUGUCAAUCAGAAUCUCAAUUAUUUGUUUACUUUGUCUUAGAUUGGGAGUAAAUUUUUUUAAAUUACAAUUUUAUCCUUAUGUACAGAAUUAUAAUUUGUAAUUAAAAAAUUAAUAAAAAAUAUAUUUGAAAAAUAAAAAUAAAUAUUUUAUUAUAUUUAUAAAAUAAUAAUAAUUACUAAUAUUCUUAAUUAUGUAAAUCAUAAUUUUUUAUUAAUUUUAAUUUAAAUUAUGUGAAUAAAAAUUAUUAAUAAUAGCAACACAAAUGAAAUAUUAUUAUUGAUAAUAUAGUACAAAAUUAAUAUUUUUUUAGAAUAAAAUAUUUAUUAUUAUUAAUUAAAUAAAUAAUUAAUAUUUAUUAAAAUUAAUGUUUAAUAUUAUUAAUUUAAAUAUAAUAUUUAUUUAUUUUUAUUUUAUUAAAUUUAAUAAAAUAAAUAUGAUAUAAUUAUUUUUUUUAAUAAAUAUGAUAUUAUUUAUUUUAUUAAAUAUUAUUUAUUUAUUUUAUUAAAUAUUAUUUAUUUAUUUUUAUUUUAAUUAUAAGGAUAAAAUGGGAAGAGGGGGGAGUGGAUUCCCACUCCCACCUCCCCCCAUGGGAGUGGAAAUCCCACUCCCCACUCCAAAAUUGAGUGGGACCCACGGAUUCCCACUCCCACUCCCCCCUUUUUUAAGGUAAGUAAACACUGAAGUAGGAGGAAUCCACACUCCACACUCCCACUCCAACAAAUAAACACUACCUAAAAUGUAUUUUCCAAACCCUUCAAAAGCGGUUUUUUGAGGAUUACAUAAGGCAGUUAUCACCAUCACUCAAAUAUAGUCUCUAACCAAAUCACAUAUAUGGGCACUACAAAGUUAUAUUGGGCUCGUGUUGAACCCUGCCAAUCUAUUUCAAUUUUUUCACCGAUAUCUGUAAUUAAUCAUUUAAAAAAAAAA
rnacentral:lncRNA from 1 species